rnacentral:lncRNA from 1 species
UGAACCCUCCCCUUCUCUCAAAUGCUCUCUAACACUCGAAACCUUAGUUGCCUCUAUCGUCUUCUCCGACUAUAUCUCGCCAGCGUCCAUGGCUUCUCGGGCCAUGGACGGCUUGUGCUUACCUCCCUUCAUCCCUAAUCAUGGUUGUUCAAGGUUUUCAAGGUUCAACCUCAAUUAUGUCGAUUCAGAUCUUCUACAGAUCUGAGUGUCCUAUGGCCUUUUUGGCUCUAUUCUGCCGUGUUCAAGCUUUUAAGGGCCUAGCUAUGGUUAAGACCUGUUCGAGACCAGAACAUUUCCAAGCCUUCUCAUUUUUAGGGUUUCGAGAAACCCUAAAAGCUGUUUGAGGUUCCAUUUCCCUUUAUUUUCUUAGAUCUGUAAUAGAUUUGUGUUAUACUCAAGGUUCUAAAGCUUUUCCCUAAUUUUAUUCUAAAACUAGUCUGUUUCGAUUUAGGGUUUUCAAAAAAUCUUAAAGUGAUUACUGACUUGUUUUCUUCUUCUUUUCUUCGUGUAAAUCUGUUUAUGCCAUGUUUUAUGAGUUUUCACUUAUGUCUUGUAUUCUUUCCUCGCAUGUCUUUUCCUAUUUUCUGUUGUUACAUAUAUUCUUCUACUUGUGCUCUGUUAUAUUUUUACUGGUUUCUACAACAUGAUUUUACAUGUCUAUCUUAUAUGUUCCUUUAUUAUUUUCUUACCAAGCUUUUUGUUUUCCUUUACUAGACAUGUAUUUGAGUUCUAAAAUUGUUUCAUCUACUAUUUCUUAAGUUCUAUGUCACCUCUUUUCUCUCCUAAGUUUUCUUGAGUUUUGAGCUUUUCGUAAAACUGUUCUUAUGGUUUUUCACUCCGUUGCUUAGAACUUGCUAUUAUGUCUGUGUGUUUUCUCAUGAGACUCUGAAAGAGACCUCUGAGUCUAUUACAAUGGUUUGCCUUCUCUUUUCUGUACCCUACUCGAAUUGAAACUCUAGGGUUUGGGGUUGUUUUUGUGAGUUUUGGUUCUCUGUUGGGACUAGGGUUUUAUUUUAGAACCCUGGGCUCUCUCAAACUCAUUUUGAGUUUAUGAACUGAACUGGAAUCUUUUUGCGUAUGAUUUGAAAUUUUCUAUGCCAGUCUCUUCUUUCUUGUUUAACACUUGUGUGCUUUAUAUAUGAGGGCGUUUCUUUCAAAUGGUUUUUGCCAUCUUGUGAUUGAUUCUGAAUUCGUUUUACUAAGGCUCGAUUGAUUGUUACUGAUUUUCUCCAAUAGAACCUUUUCCUCACCCUUUUCUAACUAACUCCAUUUGAACAAAGAUUUCAAAUUUUGUUGGUUGUUUGAUUGAUCUACUUUCCUUUUUCUCACAAAUCGUGUACCAUAAGAUUCUUGCCUUAAAUAAACUCUAUGUAUUUACCCAUGUAGUGUACUUUGAAAAGGUUUCUAAUUAUUUCUCUUUCCUUAAUUAUCCCAGAACCGUUUGAAGUCAAAUCCCUUAACCUAAGGGAGAUCAUAUGUGAUUGACAGUAAAUUAUUUUCUUUCCUUCUUAUUACUUGUUUUCUACACUAUAAAAAACGCUACUCUUCUGCACUUUUACACACUUCAGACUUCGAAUUGCACAUUACACAAUUUCAAUACUUUCUCUACUACUGCUUUCUGAAUUUCUAGUAGUGAGCACUCUGCUCCUCUUCUCUUUCUGAAACACUCUUGAGUUCCCUUUGAAUUCUCAAGUGUUUGCAGAAGAAUUUGAGUUGCUCCUACUGACUUCUGGCUGUUUAUUUGCUCUUAUUAUUUUUCUAUUCUAACUUGGAUGUCAUUCUUAGUUUAAUAAUGCCCCCUUAACUAUAUGCUUACUCCCUAGCCUAUCAUGCUCUUUCUUUCACUAUGUGUUAUUUCUUAGCCUAUCAUGUUUUCUUUCAUCAUGUGUUUUUGUUAUGCUUUCUCUCCUUAUAUUUCCGCAAAUACUUUUCUUAUGUGAAUCUCUUCCCUUUAUCAUUUGUAUGAAGAGUACAAUUUCAGUCAUGAUAGCAUCCUUUUAUUGCUGCUCAUGACUUUGAACUGGGUUUUUUGAACUCUUUACUCAAAACCAAUUCCCACUCCCCUUUCCCCUUUAUGUGCUGAGCGUUGACUCAAGUAUGGUGGUGUCCUAGUUACCAUCCAUACUCAGGUGUGACCUCUAAGGUCUGCUCUUAAUUUGUUUGGACCAAGUAAAUGGUCAGGGGUGUUCCAAUCUGUAGCCAUGGCUGGGCAUGACCACCAUUUGCUAUGGUUCCUUAAUCCCUCUCUCACUUUGCACUUAUUCCUAGUUAUAAAUUCUUCCCCCCUUUGGUAAGCCAUGCUUUGGGACCCUGAAGAACCCUUUGAACUUGGACGCCUAAUGGUUGGCUAAUGCACAUUGCACUAUUCUGUUCUAAUUGUUGUCCAGAGUGUAAGUACUACCUGGAGACCUUGAGGCUCCUUGGAACUAUGAAACACUUUGGAUAAGAAAUGGCUUUGGAAAUCUUGAAUCAGGAAUUAUUUAAUCACAUGCUAUUGGGUACUAAAAUUUAAUUCGGCUGCUCGGAUCUAGUUGUAGACUUUGAUGUAUUUUACACCUCUUAUUUCAUCUUUUCUGGUUCUGUAAUAAUAUUUUGUAAAAAGAACUCAGGGA